rnacentral:rRNA from 1 species
GUAUUGGAAUGAUGGGAAUCUAAACCCUUCCCAGAGUAUCAAUUGGAGGGCAAGUCUGGUGCCAGCAGCCGCGGUAAUUCCAGCUCCAAUAGCGUAUAUUAAAGUUGUUGCAGUUAAGAAGCUCGUAGUUGAAUUUCUGCCUCGUCUUUGGACUCGCUUUAAGCGUUUUCCAUUCGACUUGGCAUCUUUCUGGAUUUUGUUGCUUUGCAGCUUCUUCCAGUUUUUUACUUUGAGAAAACUAGAGUGUUUCAAACAGGCCAUUCGCCUUGAAUACUACAGCAUGGAAUAAUAAAGUAGGACUUUGGUUCUAUUUUGUUGGUUUUCGAACCAUAGGUAAUGGUUAAUAGGAGCAGUUGGGGGCAUUCGUAUUUAACUGUCAGAGGUGAAAAUUCUUAGA